rnacentral:rRNA from 1 species
GACGAACGCUGGCGGCGUGCUUAACACAUGCAAGUCGAACGGAAAGGACCUGCUUUUGUGGGGUGCUCGAGUGGCGAACGGGUGAGUAACACGUGAGUAACCUGCCCUUGACUUUGGGAUAACUUCAGGAAACUGGGGCUAAUACCGGAUAGGAGCUCCUGCUGCAUGGUGGGGGUUGGAAAGUUUCGGCGGUUGGGGAUGGACUCGAGGCUUAUCAGCUUGUUGGUGGGGUAGUGGCUUAACAAGGCUUUGACGGGUAGCCGGCAUGAGAGGGUGACCGCCCACAUUGCGACUGAGGUAGGGCCCAGACUCCUCCGGGAGGAAGCAGUGGCGAAUAUGGCACAAUGGGCUGGAGCCUGAUGCAGCAACGCCGCGUGCGAGAUGACGGCCUUCGGGUUGUAAACCGCUUUCGCCUGUGACGAAGCGUGAGUGACGGUAAUGGGUAAAGAAGCACCGGCUAACUACGUG